AUAGUUUUUUCAUUGUAUCCAUUAACUCAUUUUAUGACUUUAUGUUAAACUAUUUUGCAGACAAAGUGUACAUGGAGUGAUUGUCAUGAUAAUGAAGUAGACCAUGUUUUUUGGUUGAAAGCAGCUCUACGGAUCAAAGAACACUUGUAUGAGGAUCGGAGGAAAUUGAUAAAACCUGGUGGUUGAAUGAUAAAGUAUGGACUUGGUUCUUGAUAUUAUGGGACCCUCCUGAAUUUAAGGCAAAGAGGGAACGAGAAAAGGAAAAUCGAGCCUCUGAAAUAGGUGGCUCACUACACACCAGAGGUUCUAUGAGUUUUGCUUCCCACCAAAGAAGACUGUUACUAUUCUUGUCCAACCACUUUAUCCAUUUACAUGUGAUACCCCUUUAUCCAUUUACUGUGUUGAUAGAAGUUACAUAAAGUAGCAGUGAUGAGGGUGUUUCUGUUUUUGGGCUAACCAUUUCUGGCAUGGAAGUACCCAACCCAUAUCUUGGCAUGCCAACACUGUGUAUGCCCUGUAAUUGAGGCUUCUGUCUCCCUUACAAUCAGUGUUUGCAGCCAUGGGGUGGCUGGAUUCUAUUUUACCAUUUCAUGGAACACAUCUGAGCCCCAUUUUCAUGAAAAGAGUGAAAAAAGUAAUCUUUUUCGUGAUUUAUUAUAUAGCCCACACCAACACAUGACUUCUUCCUUUUUUAUUUUCUGCUACUUAUUACUAACUUGUAGAGAGUAGCUUAACUCUUUUUUCACUUUGAGUACCUAAAAAAUAUAGGGUAGUUCCUAUAGGACUAGUCAUAGGGCUAUAGUAUAUGAUUGAGCCUUAGUAUUAGUUCACUAGUUCUUGUUGAUGAAAUUUCUUCAAACAAGUGAGUUAAUUUGUGGAUUUAAAGUGCUUAUGUUAUUGGAUUAUGUAGUUUUCAGAAUUUAUGCAGCUUUCAGUACAAGUUUUAAUUUAGGAUAUGAAUGUUCUAAAAGCAAACAGGUACUCCAACCACUUUACCCAUUUAUACGUGAUACCCCUUUAUCCAUUUAUAUAAGAUUUUGGUGACAUAUACUGAUGUUGAGACGCAACACUAAUAUAUUGGUAUGUGAAAACAUACAUCCACAUAAUGCAUAAGCCACAUAAUUAGAGAACCUAUUGUUCUCUCCCUAUUUUAGUUCCAUUCUAUGGCUACAAACUCUAGUUUCACCGUUGAUAACCAAACAAUCCAACAGCCCUUUGAAAUAAACAGAAAGGAAAAAAGAUUAAAAAUAGUUCUUUGUGUUUCUCCUACUGUUGAUAAUGAUGUUUUAAAGGGGCUGUGAUGAUUGCAUCCUUGAUUUCUAGACUAUGUUUAAUCAUAGCAUCUAGAAUAACACGUCCCACGUAUUGGCAGAGCGACCCGGUUAUGGCUUUGAAUAGAAAACUACUGGUGUCUGGAGCCAUGGCAGUGUUUCUCCUCUUUUGCUUUGUUCUAAAAUAGCAAAUCUGAGCCUGCUAUUACCUAUUUUUUCUCUUGGAUGGUGAUUCUUGUCGAGUCAGAAAACCAACAGACCCUUGUGGUUCGGUCCUUCUUGGGAACUCGUGUAUAGUAAGAUUUUAAUACACUUGACUGCAUUUUUUAAACUAGGACAGUCUUUUUUUUAUGUGUGUAUGUGUUAUUGUGUUGAUAGAAGUUACAUAAAGUGGUAGUGAUGAGGGUGUUUCUGUUUCUGGGCUAACCAUUUCUGGCAUGGAAGAACCCAACCCAUAUCUUGGCGUGGCAACACUGUGUAUGCCCUGCGAUUGAGGCUUCUCUCUCCCCUACAGUCAGUGUUUGCAGCCAUGGGGAGGAUGGAUUCUGUUUUUCUGAAAAUGAGUGAAAAAAGUAAUCUUUUUACUAUUUUAUUCUACAUCCCAUACCAGCACAUGAAUUCUUCAUCUUUUAUUUUCUGCUACUUAUUACUAACUUACAGAAAUUAGCUUAACUAUUUAUUCACUUUGAGUACCUAGAAAAUACAGGGUCGUUCCUAUAGGACCAGUCACAGGGCUAUAGUAUAUGAUGAGCCUUAUUUCACUAGUCCUUGUUGAUGAGAUUUCUUCAAACAAGUGAGUUAAUUUGUGGAUUUAAACUGCUUAUGUUGUUGGAUUAUGUAGUGUUCAGAAUAUGUGCAGCUUUCAGUGCAAGUUUUAAUAAGUUAGGAUAUCAAUGUUCUGAAAGCAAACAGGUACUCCAGAUAUAGCUAAACUUUUAUAGUAGCAUUUACCUGUAUAUGGGUAAAAUUUUACAAAACUUCUUAAAUAGGGGA
rnacentral:lncRNA from 1 species